UACGUAGGGUGCAAGCGUUGUCCGGAAUUAUUGGGCGUAAAGGGCUCGUAGGCGGUCCAUCGCGUCGGGAGUGAAAAGCUGGGGCUUAACCCCAGUCCUGCUUCCGAUACGGGUGGACUAGAGGUAGGUAGGGGAGAUCGGAAUUCCUGGUGUAGCGGUGAAAUGCGCAGAUAUCAGGAGGAACACCGGUGGCGAAGGCGGAUCUCUGGGCCUUGCCUGACGCUGAGGCGCGAAAGCUAGGGGAGCGAACAGG
rnacentral:rRNA from 1 species